UAGUAGUAAUAUUAUUUGUUGUAGUUAAUAUGUAAUAGAUUUCCUUAUAUCUUGUUUAUUAUUAUGUUUUACAUUUAUUUUUUUUAAUUUUACAAAUUAAUAAUAUAAGUGCCGAGAGUAUUGGUUCGUGUUAAGCAUAGAAAGCUUGGUGUACACGUCCUUACUCGAAGGUAAACUCAUCGGAGAUAAAAAUGCUAAAAUGUUUGAUUUGAUUUAUUCAAUAUCUCUUAAAUUACAUACAAACAUAGAAAAUCUCGUUGACAGACGCAAAAUGAGCAAAAAAAAAACAAAACGAAAAAGAGGUAUUAGGAUAAAACGCUAAGUCCCUUUUAGGGACUUAUUUCCAGAGGUGUCCAUUGUUGCUAAAACACAAUGUAAUAGUCCACUGAGUAUAUGUGAACUAAAAUAUUAUUUUUUUCCUCAGAAAUCUAAAUGAAGCCGGCAUUAAGGAAAUUAAAACAGGAAGUUUCAGAAAUAUUGGAGCCAUCUCUAAAGUAAGUUUAGGUUCUAACUCAAUUAGGCACCUUCCACCGAGGUUCAUUAAUUCAAGUUUUUUAUUCCAGUUGUAUUUAUCAUCCAAUAAAUUGCAGCAUAUUGACCCUGAGGCAUUUGCUGAGGUGGGAAUGAUAAUG